rnacentral:rRNA from 1 species
AGUGAACGCUGGCGGUAGGCCUAACACAUGCAAGUCGAACGGCAGCGCAGGAGAGCUUGCUCUCUGGGUGGCGAGUGGCGGACGGGUGAGGAAUACAUCGGAAUCUACCUUUUCGUGGGGGAAACGUAGGGAAACUUACGCUAAUACCGCAUACGACCUUCGGGUGAAAGCAGGGGAUCUUCGGACCUUGUGCUAAUAGAUGAGCCUAAGUCGGAUUAGCUAGUUGGUGGGGUAAAGGCCUACCAAGGCGACGAUCUGUAGCGGGCCUGAGAGGAUGGACGGCCACACUGGGACUGAGACACGGCCCAGACUCCUACGGGAGGCAGCAGUGGGGAAUCUUCCGCAAUGGACGAAAGUCUGACGGAGCGACGCCGCGUGAGUGAUGAAGGCCCUUGGGUCGUAAAGCUCUGUCAUCAGGGACGAACGGUCACGUCAGGAAAUGGGCGUGAAUUGACGGUACCUCCAAAGGAAGCACCGGCUAACUCCGUGCCAGCCGCCGCAGUAACAC